GAGAGUAGAUGAUGUAUAGAAUGUGAGAUAUUCUGGAAUGAAUGUAAGCUAAUGUUUAUAUUUUGGAAGAUGUAAGCUUUAUAUUAUGUUUAGAAGCUUAAUGUAUAAUCAAAUUGUAUUAUAAAGGCUGAAUGAAUGUAAUAGAUAGAUGUUCCUCUCUUUAUCAUUACUUGUAUGUUCUAUACUUGUAUCUUGCUCUUAGUCGUUUAGCACUGAUUGUGCUCCCCUCGUAGUUGUUGAGUGAUCAUGUAUGUAUUCAAGUUAUUUCCUGGGAACUUGUUGUACAUGAUCUCG
rnacentral:lncRNA from 1 species